UCCAGCCUCUCAGAAUGCCUCUGUUGCAGUUUCCUCAAAAAUCUACAUCAGAACAACUUAAAGCUGCUAGCUGAGAUGGUCCAGCCUCACAGACUGCUCCAGCCAGGACUUCAGAUAAGCCCCACACUUUCCCAUCAUACAGAGACUGGAUGACAAAUGAUACAGCUAGCUCUCCCAGGACUUGACUAUAAUCCCAGCUUUCUCAGUGUUCCCUAAAGAUGCUGGUGCUCCCAGACAACAGGAAGCAGUCUAGAGAACACAACAGCCACAUUCCCAAGAGUGAGAAGAUCUGCCCCUGGCAGCACCAGUUUACUUCAAAUAAAGGAUGAUGGGCACUGAA